rnacentral:rRNA from 1 species
AGUAACACGUGGAUAACCUACCUAUAAGACUGGGAUAACUUCGGGAAACCGGAGCUAAUACCGGAUAAUAUUUUGAACCGCAUGGUUCAAAAGUGAAAGACGGUCUUGCUGUCACUUAUAGAUGGAUCCGCGCUGCAUUAGCUAGUUGGUAAGGUAACGGCUUACCAAGGCAACGAUGCAUAGCCGACCUGAGAGGGUGAUCGGCCACACUGGAACUGAGACACGGUCCAGACUCAUACGGGAGGCAGCAGCC